AAUUUUGCACUCGUAUGCAAAACGGCAACCGACGGACGAACGGAGAAUCGAAUUCCGUUGGAUGGCACCACCCGAAGACAUGGGCUGCGUUCAUUUCGCAGGAACGUUUACAAGACAAGAAACCCUUGUAUUGAAGGUCCAGCGGAUUUAUCACCUAUGUCCAGCAACUGACGAACUUGAAGCCGAGAGCGUGACGUUAUCAGGCGUCAACCAGAAGGGAGGCGUUAUUUUCCGAGACGAUUUCGAAACCGGACCCAUUUCUC